CACGUGAUAAACUAUGCCGACAACCACAACAAUUAGACAUGUAACCUAUUUGCACGAAGUCAUGGAGGAACUCACAACCAGGAAGUAUCAAAACAAUAAGGAAGGCAAUAACUUUAAUUAAGGCAAUUUAGGGUCAAUGUAUCACGUAACAAUUAGAGAAAAUCAAACAACAUCAUAUGGAGAAUAUGGAGGCAAUUUAAGCAUUACAUGAUACUUUUCAGAUAAGGACCUAAGAACCCUAGAGGCAAAUUUCCCACAAAUAAGCCCGAGCACACACUCGUCACCUCGUAUGCACGGACUACAAUUAUCAUAGAAGACCCAAUUCCUAAGGAGAAGUCCCCUACACAAGGUUAGGCAAGAUACUUACCUCAAAGGCGACAACCGAUACUCUAAAAUGCACUUCUCGGGUGAAAAG
rnacentral:lncRNA from 1 species